CAGCAGCCGCGGUAAUCCAGCUCCAAUAGCGUAUAUUAAAGUGUUGCAGUUAAAAAGCUCGUAGUUGAAUUCGGGAUCAAUAUUCGGUCAUGCCGUUGGUAUGCACUGUUAUCAUUGAUUCUCACCUUCUAAAGAACCGUAAUGCCAUUAAUUUGGUGUUACGGGGAAUUAGGACUGUUACCUUGAAAAAAUUAGAGUGUUUAAAGCAGGCUCACGCUUGAAUACAUUAGCAUGGAAUAAUGAAAUAGGACAUCCGAUUCUAUUUUGUUGGUUUCUAGGAUCGAUGUAAUGAUUAAUAGGGAUAGUUGGGGGGCAUUAGUAUUCAAUUGUCAGAGGUGAAAUUCUUGGAUUUAUUGAAGACUAACUACUGCGAAAGCAUUUGCCAAGGAUGUUUUCAUUAAUCAAGAACGAAAGUUAGGGGAUCGAAGACGAUCAGAUACCGUCGUAGUCUUAACCAUAAACUAUGCCGACUAGGGAUCGGAUGAUGUUAAUUUUUUAAUGACUCAUUCGGCGCCUUACG
rnacentral:rRNA from 1 species